UACACCAAUGAUAAGUAUGCUGAGAUGUAUGAAUCAAAGAUUUUGAUUAAAUUCUGUAACUUAGAGGUCUAU